ACAAGCUGACAAACCAUCGUAUGCUUCGUUUUCAGACCAUAACAAAUCGGCGAGACCUUCAAUAUCACGAACAACACUGCAAAUCCAGACAUCGAAUCUCUACCAAAUCCAAACACAUGCUCUAGUCCUUCUUCGCCGCUCAAUCAAAUCAAUAAACCAACGACGACGAUGACCAAAACAUUGACGAGAAAAUCAUCAGCAAACACAGCAAACCACGGAAGCCCGAAUCAAGAUCCAUCCUCUGUGUCCAAUAUCUUCGCUUAGACAGGACACAAGUGGGAUUGAGAACCGGUACUCUGAUCUCUUGCUUGUGCCGAUUUUAAUUUGUAUAUUUUCAACAAUUCUUGAAUUGCGAUCGCCUAAAUCGAGUCCAUACCCAAGAUUAGCUUGCGGGAUUGGGCUGAUUUUGCUAGGAAUAUGGUUUGUCCAGAUGGUCUUUCUCUUUAUACCAAUUUAAUGGUUAAUGGUUGCUUUCUGCACGAGAAGAGUAGAGGGAAUUACACUGUCAGGUGCAAGGGGCACCAAGAGUAUCAUCGUGGAAGAACCAUAGCGACACUUAUGUUCAAUUGCCAUCUUGCAUUUCUUGUGGUUAUGGUGGCGGGUAUAUACUCAGUCAUGGCAAAAAGAAUGGUUAUGGGGGUGAAUUUAUGCGGUACAGACCACUUGGGGCAGAAAUUAUUCAGUUGGAAAGUAAUGCCCGGUUCACUUUGGAUUCUGAUGAAGAUGAAGUCGAUAAUGAGAUUAAGGAAGAUGAGCCAAAGCAGAAUGGAGUUGUGGUCGAGAUGGUUGUGAAUGGUAAUGGUCAUGCUCAUGGUUCUCACCAAUGAGGUAAGGUUAGCAAUGAAUGAGACUUACAAUCUAUCUUUCACCACACAGUGAAAACGGACUGAUCCCAUUUUCUGUAGAUAGUAUUAUUGUGGCCUCUUAUUAGUUUUCAGUUUCUUUAUACUAUGACAGAACAUUGCAUUUGAUGAGAUCUUUUAAUUGGAGCCAAGUUUGUUGUUCUUUAGGAGGAGCUUUAUUUCAUUUUUUAUAGCACUGGUAUUGAGGGUUGCCUGAUAAUCAAGUGUUUCGUUAUGGUUAAGCUUUCUUUGCAAAAAUUUCUUACAUGUAUAUGGUAUUUCGGCGUCUUUUCGAAAGAUGGUUGUUAGUUUUUGGCUGGACAUUGGCAGUGCAUUUGCUGGAUAUAUAAAGUUGAAAGUUCACUGGUGCUUUACCAGA